rnacentral:lncRNA from 1 species
UGUGAUCAUGUUUCGUCACAAAAUUAACCUCAUAUCUGGAGUCUGGAAUCAUUUGGAUGUGAAUUGUCAGAUGUGAUCUUAUGGUAAUCUAAUUCUCUUUCUUUUCUUCUUUUUAAGCAAGGUCACUGAGUGUAUUUCCCAAUGACUAUUUUAUUUAUUUAUCAAAAGUAAUUUACAUCUAUGAACUGCUUCAAUGGAUUUCUGCUUCCACGUAUGAGUGAAUGAGAUUUUUUGUUGUUUUUCAUGCCCUUUGAUUGAUGCUUGACUCGAUUUUGUUCAGAUCUAGUUAGCCACUGUUUGGUCACAUAUGGAUUUAUCUUCUUAUUUCUCUGUUGUCAGCUUCUCCCUUGAUGUCAGCUUCUCUGUUCUAGUUGUCUAAGGUAUGAACUGAUUUGUUGCAUUUUUGUAUUUUUCCGUAUGUUCAAGUAAGAUGUAUGAGUUGGUGUAUCUGAUGAUUUGUGUGUACUUUGAUUUGGGCUUCUACAAAAUUCAGUGAAUUUUCGUACAAUAGAAUGAGCAUCUACUGAUGCCAAUACCACACAUCGUACAAUCACCCACCGAUUUAGUAUUUUCUCAAAAAUAUGAUUCCUGUUAUGUGUUUGUUGUACAUGUCUGUGAAUGUCCCCAUUUCUGGGUUUAUUGUCCUGCAUUGGCUUUUCUUUGUUGUUUUUGUUGUUCUUACUCUGAUGAGCUUUAUAUGUUUGUAUAUGCAGUGUUCGCAUCUUUAACUGUCUUGCCUUGCAAAAAUGAGCAAACUGUUAGCAUAAAAAAACAUUUUCCCUGUUCUCCUCUCAUAGGAUUUGAACUAAAGAGCUUUCUCCUCCUUUUUGUGCUAUCUGUCUCAUUUCCUGCAUGGUCUAACCCUGAGAUACGGCUCGUUCAACUUGUCACUGUUUAUCCAGAGCCAUAUUAGCUAGAUGAUCAGACAACUUGUUUCCUUCCCUGAGUAUGUCACCUCUUAGACUCAAAUGAAGAUAAACAUUAUUUCUUGGAAUGUAAGGGGGCUGAAUGGGGGGAGCAAAAUGAGUCUCAUUAGGAGUUUAACUAAACAGUGGGGGGCUGACGUCUAUGUCUUUGUAGAGACAAAGUUGAGGGGAGUUGACAAUGCUUUAUUUAAAGAGGUGUGGGCAAAUAGGUGGAUGGGUGGGUAGAAGUGGAGGGAUUGUAGUAAUGUGGGACAAAAGGGUAUUGGAAGGGGGAGCUAAUAGGGACUGCUGGUCAGAUGCUUACAUGUAAACUAGAAGGCAUAGUACAAAAUCUCACUUGGUUUUAAGUGCAGUUUAUGCUGACUGCAACCCAAUAAUAAGAAAGGAAAUAGUGGAGGGAGCUGACAACAAUUAGAAACUCCUUCGAAGGACCAUGGGUGGUGUGUGGCAACUUCAAUGUUACAAGAUAUCCAAACGAAAGAACUGGCAGCCAUUAUCUGUCUGGAGAAAUGACAGAGUUCACUGACUGGAUCAACGAGAUGGAGUUAUUUGACCCUCCUUUAUUUAGAGGAUCUUAUACUUGGAGAAGGGGUGAGAACCACACAACAGCCUCCAGAAUUGAAAGAUUCCUCUACUCUAAUCAUUGGGAAGAAUUGUUCCCGCAAAUUAGACAAAGUGUGCUCCCGAGAGUAGGCUUUGAUCAUAGUCCAAUAGCUCUAAACUGUGGAAAGCUAAAUCUCAAGAAGACUUAUUUUAAGUUUGAGCAAUGGUGGAUGAGGGUGGAAGGGUUCAGAGAAAAAGUAAAAGAAUGGUGGGCAUCCUUCACUGUAAAUGGAACAACUUCUUUUAGGUUGGCAACAAAACUAAAGCUACUCAAAGGGAGAUUGAAGGAAUGGGAGCUGGAGAAUAGAGGCAACUAGAAACAUAGAAAGGAGGAUAUGUUGAACCAGAUUGCUAGUCUUGAAACUAUCCAGGAACAGAGAACACUCAAUGUGAAGGAGAGUCUACACAAAGCUAAGUUAUUCAAUGAGUUUGCAGAAAUUUCCAAGAAUGAGGAAAUAGCGUGGAGACAAAGGUCCAGGGUACAAUGGCUCAAGCAAGGGGAUAAAAAUACCAAAUACUUUCAGGAAAUGGCAACAUCACACAGAAGAUUCAAUACAAUCGAGAAGUUAGAAGUGGAAGGUGUGAUUAUUUCCGAACCAGAGGUGAUCAAGAACGAAGUUGUAAGCUUUUACCAGAAACUCUACAAGGAAUCAGAACAAUAGAGGCCACAUUUUAAUCUCCAAGGGAGUGAAAGCAUCAGUGUGGAGGGAAAAGAGUGGCUACAAAGACAAUUUGAGGAAGAUGAAGUCCUUGAGAUACUCAAGUUGUGUUCCAGUGACAAGGCCCCAGGUCCGGAUGGUUUCCCGAUGAGUUUUUAUCAAAGCUUGUGGGAAAUGCUUAAGGAAGACAUACUGAGCAUCUUGAGGCAAUUUCAUGAUCACCAAGUGUUUGAGAAGAGCCUAAAUGCAACCUAUAUGGCAUUGAUCCCAAAAAGGUGGGAGCUGUGGAACUAAGAGAUUUCAGACCUAUAAGCUUGAUAAGUGGAAUAUACAAGAUCAUUGCCAAGAUACUAGCAGAAAGGUUAAAGAAAAUGAUCAGUAAGCUUGUGAAUAAACACCAGAUGGCCUUCAUAAAAGGUAGGCAGAUCAUUGAUGCAACACUUAUAGCAAGUGAGUGUGUGGACACCAGAGUCAAAGGAGAUGAUCCAGGAAUUAUGUGCAAGCUGGACAUAGAGAAGGCUUAUGAUCAUGUCAAUUGGGGCUUCCUAAUCAUGAUUCUAAAACAAAUGGGUUUUGGGGAUAAAUGGCUGAAGUGGAUCGAUUAUUGCAUUAAAACUGUUAGGUUCUCCAUUUUAGUGAAUGGAGACCCUGUUGGUUUUUUCCCAUCAGAAAGGGGUCUAAGGCAGGAGACCCACUCUCUCCUUUCCUUUUCAUCCUAGCCAUGGAGGGCUAUAAUAGUAUGAUGAGAGUAGCUACCCAAAAUAAUUGGUUAAAAGGCUUCAAGGUCCGCAACUCUUCAAAAAGGGAAAUGCAGAUUUGUCAUCUGCUUUAUGCAGAUGACACCAUUAUUUUCUGUGAAGCCAAGGCUGAACAGGUUACCUUUAUAAGAAUGACUUUGGUGGUUUUUGAAGCAGUCUCGGGUUUAUCAGUAAAUUGGAGGAAAAGCAGCAUUUUUCCAAUUAAAGAAAUCCCUCAACUUCAGAGCCUAGCAAGGAUAUUGGGGUGUAAAGUAGAACAUCUUCCCACUACUUACUUGGGCAUGCCAUUGGGACACAAUCAUAAGGAGCUAGAAAUUUGGGACGGCAUAAUUGAAAAGACAGAGAAGAAAUUGGCCAAUUGGAAAGCUCAGUAUAUCUCUUUAGGAGGGAGAGUCACUUUAAUAAACUCUGUGUUGGACUCUCUUCCAACUUAUGUUAUGUCUUUAUUCCCUAUGCCUGCCAAAGUGGAAGAAAGACUUGACAAACUGAGAAGAGAUUUCUUGUGGAAAGGGAAUAAAGAAGGGAAGGGUUUGCAUUUAGUCAAAUGGCAGACUGCACAGUUACAUAAACAAUCUGGUGGACUUGGAAUCAGAAACUUGGGGUUGCAGAAUAGAUGUCUCUUGUCAAAAUGGCUAUGGAGGUUCAACACUGAGGAAGAAGCACUGUGGAGGGAGGUGAUAGUCAACAAGUACGGGUGAAUGGGAAUUGGGUCUCCAACUCUGUGAAUAGCACUUACGGGGUGUCAGCUUGGAGAACAAUAAGAAAUUUGUGGCCUGAUCUAAGUAGAAACAUAGUCUACAAGGUGGGAAAUGGGACGAAAAUCCUAUUCUGGAAAGAGAAUUAGAAUGGAAAUGAGGCACUGAUGGGCUGGGCUUAUUUCCUGACCUAUUUUCCUUGUGUACCAAUCCGGAAGAAACAGUGGCUGAGGUAUGGUCUAUUCAUGGAUGGAAUAUUGUGUUUAGAAGGCAUUUAAAUGACUAGGAGAUUGGGAGAGUGGCUGAGCUAUUACAUGUUCUCAAUGGUUUUAAUGGGUUAUCAGCAGAAAAAGAUUCUAUCGUAUGGAAACACUCUAGAGAUGGAAGCCUUUCUGUUAACAAGUUAUAUAUUAAGGAGGUGAAUGAGUAUCCAGGUGGUAAACUUGGCCCUUGGAAGCAGAUUUGGAGGAACAAGGUGCCAACCAAGGUAAAGUGUUCUCCUAGUUGGUUGCCAGAAGAGCAUGCUCCACUCAUGAGAAAUUGAAAAUGAGGUGUUUCUAUAUUGCUUUUUGGUGCUCUCUCUGUAAUGAGACUGAGGAAACCAACAACCAUUUGUUCCUCCAUUGCAAAGUGACAAUACAAUUGUGGAACCUUUUUUUGGGACUAACACAUAGAGAAUGGAUUAUGCCUGAGCAUACAUCAGAUCUACUUAGUUGCUGGAUCAGCAGAGGGAGGAGAAAAUCUAAGAAAAAGUGGUGGAGUAUAAUACCAUCAUGCAUUUGGUGGUGUAUUUGGAAAGAAAGAAAUAGCAGAUGCUAUGAUAACAAAGCUAAUUCAAUAGAUAAAGUCAAAUGGAACUGCUUGACUACUUUUUAUUUUUGGUGUAAAGAGGAAGGGAUAGAAGAAGCUGCACAAAUUUUGGAUUUUAUAGGCACUUUGUAAUCUAUUAGCUCUUUUUGUUUUUUCUCUUGUUGGAAACCAAUUUUUGGAGGUCUCCAGCAUAUCCUUAAUGCUGAUGAAUACAACAUUAUCUUUAUCAACAAAAAAAAAAAGUAUGUGAGUGAUUACCACUGUCCUUUCUCUCCUGAGUCUCCAUAUUUCUUCGAUAAUGGUCACUAUAUUCCAGGGAACUUCCCAAACCCUCUAUUACGUUUUUCAGUACUAGAGAACCUAUCUCAAUGAAUAUUCUCUCAAUUUGUUAGUCUUUUUGUACUUCAAAGCGAAUAGGAAUGCCAAAGCUUCAGCUUGUAUGUUUGUACUGAAAGGUUCUUCAAUCUCCUUAGCCUGUGCUUGUAUGACAUCUCCAUUGGUAUAUUUUACACAGAAUCCCCAAGAGCUCCUCCCAGGAUUUCCUCUUGAGGCCCCGACUGUGUUCACCUUCACCCAACCUGUGUCUGGUGGCUUCGAAAUAACUUUGAUGAUCUUCACGGUGUGAGAUUACCUAUAUAUGGCUUCCACCAUUGUGCAUAUUUGAGAUUUUUCUUCCUUGCCUUCAUGAACUGAAUCGAAGUGCACAUCACCUGAUAUAUUAGUUUGGUAUUGGAUAUUUUUCCUCCAUGCCUCAACGACUUCCUCUUUUUCCAUAGCUCCCACAAUAUAAUAGAUGGCACUGCUUGAAACAUAUAACUCACUUGCAGAUGUGCAGGCAUCCCCCACCAUAUGCUUAUCAAUUGAGUAAGGUGUAGAUUUUGAUUAACAUUGCAAUAAAUAGAAUUUGAUAUGAACAUUUGGCGAAUAAUAGAAGAAAAUACAAGCGCAGUGGAUAAGGAACAUGUCAGAAUCUACAAAAAUAUUUCCAAACAUACUGAGCUGCUGGAGAAUAUAGAGGAAUACAUGAUUUAUAUCUUCCACUCUAGGAUAUUCACAACAAUGACAUCUUGAUGGAAACUGAAUUCCCCAUUUUUUCAAAGUAACAUCCAGUGGCAAUUUAGCUUUCCACAGUCUCUACAUGAAAAAAGAGAUCUUGAUAGGCAAAUCUUUAACCACUUCAGCUUAUAUAUUUUGUUGACCUCCCAUCUUUGUCUCGUUACCUGGAAGGCAGACACUACUGUGAAUUUUCCUCUUGCUUCUAGCUUCCAGUUUCCAGUAUGGUCUAUCUAAUUCCUCCUCCUCUUUAGGUGGGUCCACCUUUUCUAGAAUAUGUUCUGCCAACCCUUGAGGAAGAAUUCUUCUCAAUGUAUUUUCUUGCCAUUGCCCCCCUUCAGCUGUUUCUUUGACUAGUAUAAUUGUAAGAUCACACUCAACAUUUGGUGGAAUGAUUUGACAUAAAGCACACAGUCCUGUCCAAUUGUCUAACCAGAAGUAUGAGUUGCCCUCUUUAAUCAACAUAAUAUAGUACAUUUCAUAUUUAUGAAUAUUCAGCUGACAUUAAUACAGACAAGUGCUAGGUUUAAAAGUUUUAAAUCUCCAUUUUCUACUGUCUAGUUCUUCAAGAUGAUUUACUAGAUGACGCACAAAUAGUUGGUCAUGUGUAAUUUAUUACAACCAAAUACUCUUUGUGCUUUCUUUUGUCCCCUCCUCUCUCUUAUUAAUUCUCUUGAUGAAAAUUACGUCAGGAAAGUUUAUGGAACUGGGAAAGAUUAUCCAAGCAACGGAAGUUGGGAACUUUAUGACAGAAGAGGUAAAUUUGAUGGCUCUUCUUAUAUAAAAGAAAUGUGCAGUAUUGAUAUGUGCUUCCUGCCAAAAGCUAGAUCUGUAGUUAGAUAGCAAGAGAUUCUUUUACAAUGAUGUCAAAUAUGUUUGUGUAGGUGGUAGAACAAGCUCAUCACAGUCGCAC